AAAUUGAAGAGUUUGAUCAUGGCUCAGAUUGAACGCUGGCGGCAGGCCUAACACAUGCAAGUCGAACGGUAACAGGAAGCAGCUUGCUGCUUUGCUGACGAGUGGCGGACGGGUGAGUAAUGUCUGGGAAACUGCCUGAUGGAGGGGGAUAACUACUGGAAACGGUGGCUAAUACCGCAUAAUGUCGCAAGACCAAAGAGGGGGACCUUCGGGCCUCUUGCCAUCAGAUGUGCCCAGAUGGGAUUAGCUUGUUGGUGAGGUAACGGCUCACCAAGGCGACGAUCCCUAGCUGGUC
rnacentral:rRNA from 1 species